rnacentral:rRNA from 1 species
UACGGAGGGUGCAAACGUUGCUCGGAAUUAUUGGGCGUAAAGCGCACGUAGGCGGCCGAAUAAGUCGGGUGUGAAAGCCCUGGGCUCAACCCAGGAAGUGCACUCGAAACUGCUCGGCUUGAGUAUGGAAGAGGGUUGCGGAAUUCCCGGUGUAGAGGUGAAAUUCGUAGAUAUCGGGAGGAACACCAGUGGCGAAGGCGGCAACCUGGGCCAAUACUGACGCUGAGGCACGAAAGCGUGGGGAGCAAACAGG